GGGCGUAGGUUAAGAGAAGCUUCCUCUCCAUCUAGAGAGAGAAACCAAACUCCCACAACCAACCAGAAUUCUAGAGAGAGAAACAAACCCUCCUGCAUCCUCCACUUGAUGCAAAAAUCCAUCAUCAACCAUGUCAAAGAUGAAACACCUCUUGCGAAAGCUUCACAUCGGCGGUAACUGCACCGAUAACAACAACAACCGUCUACCCUCCGCCGACACGUCAUCACGACCUCCAACAACCUCAUCUUAUUCUCCUCAACCUAUAUCUCCGGUCAUCGAUUCAAACGUCGCCGUUUCAUCCUCCUCCGUUGAGAACGUCAACGACCACUCGAACGCGUCCACCGUUGAUUCGAAUUUCUUCGAGGAGGAGUUUCAGAUGCAGCUUGCGCUUGCGAUUAGUGUUUCGUCGGGAUCGGUUACGGCCGGUGAGCCGGACGCUGAAACUGCACAGAUUAAGGCUGCUAAGCAGCGGAGCUUGGGGUGUUCGCCUGAUGAAUCGGUUUUUGAGUAUCUAUCGCUUCGAUAUUGGAGCAAUAAUGUAAUAAAUUAUGAUGAAAAAGUGAUGGAUGGUUUUUAUGACGUAUACGGGAUUGCUUCAAAUUCAAUCACACAAGGGAAGAUGCCAUUGUUAGUGGACCUUCAAGCAAUAACCGUUUCAGAUAAUGUCGACUAUGAAGUAAUCUUAGUCAACAGAAUGGUUGACAAGGAUCUACGGUACCUCGAAGAAAGAGUUUCUACUAUCUCACUCGAAUGCCAAGCCGCUGGGACGACUCAAAUUAUGAGCAUUUUAAUCCAAAAAAUUGCUAAUAUUGUUGUUGGUCAAAUGGGUGGGCCUGUAACUGAUGCUGAUGAAAUGUUGAGAAAGUGGACUUUCAGAAGUUACGAGUUGAGGAACUUAAUGAACACUAUCAUUCUUCCUAUUGGUUGUCUUGAUGUUGGACUUUCCCGCCAUAGAGCCUUGCUCUUUAAGGUACUUGCUGAUAAGAUCAACCUUCCAUGUAGUCUGGUCAAAGGGAGCUACUAUACUGGAACCGAUGAUGGAGCUGUGAACUUGAUCAAGAUUGAUAACGGAAGUGAAUACAUUAUAGAUUUAAUGGGCGCUCCAGGAACCCUAAUCCCUGUGGAGGUGCAAAGCUGUAAUCUUCCCACUUUUGGGACUUCAGGUUCUGAAGUGUCUUCUUUUAUAGGCUCGCAAUCAGAACGCCAGUUUGCGCAACUUACUAAAAGAAAUCAAACCGAGAGGUUUGAAUAUGAUUUCGGCAAGCUUCUUCCAUCUCUCAACAGGCCACUUGAAGGAGCGUCCGGUGCGUUUGAGAUAACAUCCCCAGCACAAGAAUUGCAGAUUAACGACGUGUCUGAUUGCGUCAUAAAUGCGGCUAAAAACCCUGAUUUUGCUCAAAAGCUUCAUGCGGUUCUUUUACACAGUGACGUCACAUCUGCUGAUAAUCUCAUAAAUGUAAAUAAUCAAGAAGAGGGAGAACCAGUUCAUUUGUUAGAUGCUGACAUGUUAAUCAUGUCUAAUAAUGAGGAGCUUAGAGUUCAUAACAGGUUACAAGCAGAACAUCAGUUAGUGCCUGAAAGAAAUAAUUUUGGAUAUAAUUUACCUUUUGAAUCCACAAGCUAUAGUGAGGAUGACGUCCUGGCCAAUAACUUAGUUGUGAAGCCAUUGGAAAGUCAAGAACGAGAAGGCUUUCAUAAAGAUGAUGAAAAAACGAAAAGGUUAAAUAUGAUUAACCUUACUGCAGGUGAGUGGGAAAUUCUGUGGGAGGAUCUUCAGAUUGGUGAGCGCAUUGGUAUAGGUUCUUAUGGCGAGGUUUAUCGUUCAGAAUGGAAUGGAACCGAGGUGGCUGUGAAGAAGUUUAUGAACCAGGAUAUAUCGGGCGAUGCACUAACUCAAUUUAAGGGCGAAAUUGAGAUCAUGUUAAGGUUGAGACAUCCUAACGUUGUUCUUUUCAUGGGAGCAGUUACUCGUCCACCAAAUCUUUCCAUUUUGACAGAAUUUCUACCAAGGGGAAGCUUAUACAAACUGCUCCAUCGUACAAAUGUUCAACUUGAUGAAAAGCGGCGAAUGCGUAUGGCUCUUGAUGUGGCCAAAGGAAUGAAUUAUUUGCACACUAGCAAUCCGGUCAUUGUGCACAGGGAUUUGAAGACUCCAAAUCUCCUUGUUGAUAAGAAUUGGGUUGUUAAGGUAUGUGAUUUUGGGAUGUCACGCAUGAAACACCACACUUUUCUGUCAUCAAAAUCUACUGCUGGAACUCCUGAAUGGAUGGCACCAGAAGUAUUGAGAAAUGAACCAGCAACUGAGAAACGGGCUGAUUUUGCAGGUGUGAUGUAUAUAGUUUCGGUGUAAUUUUAUGGGAGUUAGCAACUUUGCGUGUACCUUGGACAGAAUUGAAUUCGAUGCAAGUUGUUGGCGCUGUCGGCUUUCAAUACCGACACCUAGACAUUCCAGAAACCGUUGAUCCUGUUGUCGCAAGAAUCAUAACUGAUUGUUGGCAUCCCGAGCCACAGUGUCGACCGUCAUUCAAAGAGAUCAUUGCUCGUCUCAGAAGUUUGGGGCGCCUUUCGGUUGAACGAAUUGAAACUCGUAUAAAUCAAUAAUAAAAGUAUUGGAGGGAAGUGUUGUUUGUAUCUAUAGAGAUUGUCGUAGCCGAUUUACAGACGAAAGAAAUGAAAAAAAAAAAGAGUGAUGGAUUGGGAAGUGUUGGUUCGCUUUAAAAGACGGGGCACGAAGCACAGCCAAGCCAGAUUGACACACUCCACACUUGGGGAUGAGUGAUUAAUUUCACCAAAAGAUAUAUAGUUGAUGUAAUAAUAAUGUUGUCUAUAAAAUUGUUAACAAAGAAAGGAUAGAACAGAGAAUGGUUUUUGCUUUGGAGGUCAUAAAAGGGGAGCAAUUGCAGCUUCCAAAUUGUAAACAUCUAGUGGUCUCUGCAAAAGAUUAAUCCUUUUACAAUUCUUUUGGCCUCCACAGCUUGUAACCUGUAUAUUUUCGUUUACGCCCAAACAAUAACAUACAAGCUUUUAAUAGGGCCAGCAGAAAACCGAAAUAACUGAACCGAUUGAUGAACUAGCUAUGUUUUUUUCA